CUGGCGGCUCAUCAAUAUUAGACACCUGCAGGAACAGCAGGUCAGCCAAGCCAAAGAGUAAGAGUGGCCCUGUCUGUGACUAGACGCUUCUUCAGGGUUGCCUCAACACCGGAGUGGCGCUGGUGGUCUCCACCCACUCCCAGUGUACGCUGGCGUCUAGGAAGCCAUGUGUGUGAUCGGCCCUGAAUUAGGGGCAAAACUUUUAGUUCUCAGAUGAACUGUCGUGGGUUUAUUCAGUGAUAACUAGACAGCCAGGCCAACAUGGAGUUGAUUCAUCCAUGCAAAACCUCCCAGACAAGGCCUUUCAGUGGAGAACUGGAAUUCAGGGUCUUCUCAGCUUUGGCCAGAAGCCAAAGGUAGGAGAGGUAGGAGAGACCCAGGUCCUGGUCCCAGCUGUGUCCCAUCCAGAGUGACCUUGGGAAGGUUGCCAACUUCCUUUUUCGAAUAACUGGGAGAUGAAACAGGAAGCUCUAUGACACACUUGAUCGAAUAUGACAGACACCGAAAAUCACGACUCAGCCCCCUCCAGCACCUCUACCUGUUGCCCGCCGAUCACAGCCGGAAUGCAGCUGAAAGAUUCCCUGGGGCCUGGUUCCAACCGCCCACUGUGGACUCUGAGGCCUCUGCAUUUGCGGGUGGUCUGCCUGUGAUAUUUUGGUCAUGGGCUGGUCUGGUCGGUUUCCCAUUUGUCUGGCCAGUCUCUAUGUGUCUUAAUCCCUUGUCCUUCAUUAAAAGCAAAACUAAAGAAAA
ensembl:lncRNA CYTOR cytoskeleton regulator RNA